GAACAGCUAACAAUUUUGCCUCGAGCCUUCCCAUUACCAUUGCGUUCAGCUCACCCUACUGUUUGGCAGCUGGCCAGUUCAGAAAGCCUACAGAGGAAAAUGGCUCUGAAGGAAAAAAUGUGCAUGUUAAGCAGAGGACAGCCUUUGUGAAGGGUGAGAAAAAACAAGACAAAUACCCUCAACUGCCAAAGUGCUCUCUGGUACACGGAGGAAUGAAGUGAGACGAAAGGGAAGGAAGAAACUGCAGUAGCCAGGAGUCUCUUCAUUAAAGAUAACUUUAGCCUGUAUGCUCUAUAGUGCUGAAACAAAACAUGUUUCUACUUCAGGACCAGGCCUGCUUUACAUUAAGGAUGUUCCUCUGUGGAGAGGCUGGGAGGAUUUAUGUGGAACUGUGGCACCUAAGCCAUUCAAGAAUGCAUGCCAACCUUCAAAACCGUAUUAAUGAGACCACAAAAUCCUUCAAAAAAGUUUGCGGGACAAUGCAGUAUAACCCGAGCAUGCUGAGCAGAUCUGAGUGGCUCUUCUUCAGAUGGAGUGAUGCUGACCUUUUUAUUCAAUGGGACUUAUCUUGCUGUCAAAGGCACUUCAACUAGUACUGCUGACACGCACAUCACGGGCUCCUUGAGUCCUCUCCUACUACUACAAGCCCCUGUGCAGAAUCAUCAGCAAAGUCUUUGCCUGACAUAUAUACACAUAUAUAUAUCUCCAGUGUCAGAACUAGCCCCCUUACUUCCUCUCACCAGUCAUCUACAGAUUCAUUUCAGUCAAGCUGUGCUCCAGCUGUACAGCAUUGCAAUGCUGCAGCAUACUUACAGAGUUUCAGCCAAUAGUCCUCCUUCACUUCCUACAGGCUUUCAGUCUGUCUCUCUCUCCCUACAGUGUCUCAUGCACUACCUCGGAUACAGAAGGUUUAAUUACAGUGAAGUAUGCAGGAAUUGAACCAAUAACAAGAAAAUCCUCAUCUAUCAUCUUAUAUUUAGAGAAUUUCAUCUGGAAAACUUUCCAGUCCUCCAUUACAAUGUUUACAUGCAAGAGAAUUCUCCUGUAAUAAAUCAUGAUUUACAUUUAGAUAGUACA